UACGAAGGGGGCUAGCGUUGCUCGGAAUCACUGGGCGUAAAGCGCACGUAGGCGGGUCCUUAAGUCAGGGGUGAAAUCCCGGAGCUCAACUCCGGAACUGCCUUUGAUACUGGGGAUCUUGAGUCCGGAAGAGGUGAGUGGAACUCCGAGUGUAGAGGUGAAAUUCGUAGAUAUUCGGAAGAACACCAGUGGCGAAGGCGGCUCACUGGUCCGGUACUGACGCUGAGGUGCGAAAAGCGUGGGGGAGCAAACAGGG
rnacentral:rRNA from 1 species